CGUAGGUGGCAAGCGUUGUCCGGAAUUAUUGGGCGUAAAGCGCGCGCAGGCGGUCCUUUAAGUCUGAUGUGAAAGCCCACGGCUCAACCGUGGAGGGUCAUUGGAAACUGGAGGACUUGAGUACAGAAGAGGAAAGCGGAAUUCCACGUGUAGCGGUGAAAUGCGUAGAGAUGUGGAGGAACACCAGUGGCGAAGGCGGCUUUCUGGUCUGUAACUGACGCUGAGGCGCGAAAGCGUGGGGAGCAAACAGGAUUAGAUACCCUGGUAGUCCACGCCGUAAACGAUGAGUGCUAAGUGUUAGGGGGUUUCCGCCCCUUAGUGCUGCAGCUAACGCAUUAAGCACUCCGCCUGGGGAGUACGGUCGCAAGACUG
rnacentral:rRNA from 1 species